CAUCCUCCAAGGCUAAAUACUCCUGACUGACCGAUAGUGAACCAGUACCGUGAGGGAAAGGCGAAAAGAACCCCGGCGAGGGGAGUGAAAAAGAACCUGAAACCGUGUACGUACAAGCAGUGGGAGCCCCACCACCAAAGCAUUCUCUGGUGUUGAAGGCCCUGCAAAGCAGCAUCGCGGUGGCGGAGCGUCGUUUGCGACGCCCAACACACAAAACAAGCGGUGAGUGCUUUGGGGUGGGGUGACUGCGUACCUUUUGUAUAAUGGGUCAGCGACUUAUAUUCUGUAGCAAGGUUAACCGUAUAGGGGAGCCGGAGGGAAACCGAGUCUUAACUGGGCGUUAAGUUGCAGGGUAUAGACCCGAAACCCGGUGAUCUAGCCAUGGGCAGGUUGAAGGUUGGGUAACACUAACUGGAGGACCGAACCGACUAAUGUUGAAAAAUUAGCGGAUGACCUGUGGCUGGGGGUGAAAGGCCAAUCAAACCGGGAGAUAGCUGGUUCUCCCCGAAAGCUAUUUAGGUAGCGCCUCGUGAACUCAUCUUCGGGGGUAGAGCACUGUUUCGGCUAGGGGGUCAUCCCGACUUACCAACCCGAUGCAAACUGCGAAUACCGAAGAAUGUUAUCACGGGAGACACACGGCGGGUGCUAACGUCCGUCGUGAAGAGGGAAACAACCCAGACCGCCAGCUAAGGUCCCAAAGUCACAGUUAAGUGGGAAACGAUGUGGGAAGGCUCAGACAGCCAGGAUGUUGGCUUAGAAGCAGCCAUCAUUUAAAGAAAGCGUAAUAGCUCACUGGUCGAGUCGGCCUGCGCGGAAGAUGUAACGGGGCUAAACCAUGCACCGAAGCUGCGGCAGCGACGCUGAUGCGUUGUUGGGUAGGGGAGCGUUCUGUAAGCCUGCGAAGGUGUCCUGUGAGGGAUGCUGGAGGUAUCAGAAGUGCGAAUGCUGACAUAAGUAACGAUAAUGCGGGUGAAAAGCCCGCUCGCCGGAAGACCAAGGGUUCCUGUCCAACGUUAAUCGGGGCAGGGUGAGUCGACCCCUAAGGCGAGGCCGAAAGGCGUAGUCGAUGGGAAACGGGUUAAUAUUCCCGUA
rnacentral:rRNA from 1 species